UACGGGGGGGGCAAGCGUUGUUCGGAAUUACUGGGCGUAAAGGGCUCGUAGGCGGCCAACUAAGUCGGAUGUGAAAUCCCCAAGCUUAACUUGGGAACUGCAUCCGAUACUGGAUGGCUUGAAUCCGGGAGAGGGAUGCAGAAUUCCAGGUGUAGCGGUGAAAUGCGUAGAUAUCUGGAGGAACACCGGUGGCGAAGGCGGAUCUCUGGGCCAUUACUGACGCUGAGGAGCGAAAGCGUGGGGAGCGAACAGG
rnacentral:rRNA from 1 species